AAAAAAAAAAAAAAUCUGAGAGUUUUUUUAAAAAUGAGGAUCAUGGAGGGCUAAAUAAGAUGGGUGGAGCUGAGAUUACAGCUGACGGAAUGGGGAUUAGACCCAAGUACCAGAUAAAUCGAGAAACUAGAGAAGUGAAUGAAGGAAGUUACAGUACAGAAAACAGUUCCACUUGACCUUCACACAUAAAGGUGGAAGAAGAAAUAGGAUGAUCUCAUGUUGUUUUUCAGGCUACGGAAAAACCUGCGAGCCCUAGUGGUUGUCCAUGCUACAUGGUAUGUGAAAGCAUUUCUGGCACUGCUUCGGCCCUUCAUCAGUUCCAAAUUCACACGAAAAAUCCGUUUUCUGGACAGCCUGGGGGAGCUGGCCCAACUCAUAUCCCUGGAUCAAGUCCACAUCCCUGAAGCUGUC
rnacentral:sRNA from 1 species